rnacentral:lncRNA from 1 species
UUAAGGCUAGUGGGCAUUUGGGCUAGGGUUGUAUUUGAGUUUAAUUUUGGGCUGAUAACUUGGGUUUAGGUUUAAUUUCUUUUGGUUUGUAAACUGGACUAAUUUUAUUGGACCUUUAAAUUUUUUUAUUUUUAUAUUUGGGUUUUAAUAUCUGUAUUGGGCAGGGCAAAAUUUGGGCAUUACAGCUGCCCCACUUUGCUAUUUGUCGUGUAACAGGAGCGGAGCAAAGACUCCAAAAAUU